rnacentral:lncRNA from 1 species
CGUCCACAUACAUUAUGUUGCACACAAUCACAGGAGAUCACCAGACUGCGUAUGUUUACUUAUAAAGAUUUCUACACAGAAAGAUUUGUGCGGUCGUGAUACUUCUGGUAGGGAUCAUCAACGUACCAAUUUCUUCUUUUCCAGAAAGAAGUGGUCAUUUUAUCCAGGAGUUUACACUGUGUUCUAUUGCACAACACAAACUCUCUCAAGCGUUUCUUCUGGGCAGUAGACUUCUUCCACAGUUUCUUCUUGUAACCAGACUUUCUCCUAACCCAAAGACCAUUGUGCAGUCGGAGAAACCUCUUAACAACAGCUUUCACACUCUUCCUCUUUCCCUUCCGUAAACCAUAAUAAGUGAGGGGCCUCACGGGCUGCUCAAGUAUGCUUGGAAGUAGAGGUGUGAGUCUGCUGAGCAGCGCGGAGGAGCCCCCGCCGGGCACGAUCCUGAGGGACAGCGGUUUCCCCAACGGAGUCGCUGCCCGCGCUGGGCUGUGGCAGCACCGGACGGACGCAGUUCGCCACGCAGCCAGGGGGGCCCAACGCGCCAGCGGCCGCAGCAUCCGGCAGCCGGCGGAGGUCAGCAGGAGCCGCACUCCUCCCAGCGGGAACGCGGCGCUCUGCAGCCGUCCGGCGGCGCGGCCCCCUCCG